rnacentral:rRNA from 1 species
GAUUCUGGCUCAGGAUGAACGCUAGCUACAGGCUUAACACAUGCAAGUCGAGGGGCAGCAUGGUCUUAGCUUGCUAAGAUUGAUGGCGACCGGCGCACGGGUGAGUAACGCGUAUCCAACCUUCCCUAUAGUAGGGGAUAGCCCGUAGAAAUGCGGAUUAAUACCCUAUGUUGUAUUUUGAGGACAUCUGACGAAUACCAAAGGUUCACCGCUAUAGGAUGGGGAUGCGUCUGAUUAGGUAGUCGGCGGGGUAACGGCCCACCGAGCCAACGAUCAGUAGGGGUUCUGAGAGGAAGGUCCCCCACAUUGGAACUGAGACACGGUCCAAACUCCUACGGGAGGCAGCAGUGAGGAAUAUUGGUCAAUGGGCGAGAGCCUGAACCAGCCAAGUAGCGUGCAGGAUGACGGCCCUAUGGGUUGUAAACUGCUUUUAUGCGGGGAUAAAGUGAGGGACGUGUCCCUUAUUGUAGGUACCGCAUGAAUAAGGACCGGCUAAUUCCGUGCCAGCCGCCGC